rnacentral:rRNA from 1 species
CAAUAGCGUAUAUUAAAGUUGUUGCAGUUAAAAAGCUCGUAGUUGGAUUUCUGGUUGAAGCGACCGGUCGGGCGUUGAUUCGACUGCACUGGAGUCGGUUUUGGCCAUCCUCUAGGAAAGUGCGUCUGGUAUUAAGUUAUCGGGCGUAUGAUCCUGGUCUUUUACUGUGAAAAAAUUAGAGUGUUUAAAGCAGGCCUUCGCCUUGAAUACAUUAGCAUGGAAUAAUAAGAUAGGACUUUGGUCUAUUUUGUUGGUUUGCAGACCGAAGUAAUGAUUAAUAGGGAUAGUUGGGGGUAUUUAUAUUCCGAUGUCAGAGGUGAAAUUCUUAGAUUUUCGGAAGAUAAACUUAUGCGAAAGCAUUUACCAAGGAUGUUUUCAUUAA